CAGUAGCCGCGGUAAUACGUAGGUCCCGAGCGUUGUCCGGAUUUAUUGGGCGUAAAGCGAGCGCAGGCGGUUAGAUAAGUCUGAAGUUAAAGGCUGUGGCUUAACCAUAGUACGCUUUGGAAACUGUUUAACUUGAGUGCAAGAGGGGAGAGUGGAAUUCCAUGUGUAGCGGUGAAAUGCGUAGAUAUAUGGAGGAACACCGGUGGCGAAAGCGGCUCUCUGGCUUGUAACUGACGCUGAGGCUCAAAAGCGUGGGGCGCAAACAGGAUUAGAUACCCCUGUAGUCCCUGUCUCUUAUACA
rnacentral:rRNA from 1 species